AGAUCAUCACUGGGCAUAAAGCGUGCGCAGGCGGUUUUGUAAGACAGAGGUGAAAUCCCCGGGCUCAACCUGGGAACUGCCUUUGUGACUGCAAGGCUGGAGUGCGGCAGAGGGGGAUGGAAUUCCGCGUGUAGCAGUGAAAUGCGUAGAUAUGCGGAGGAACACCGAUGGCGAAGGCAAUCCCCUGGGCCUGCACUGACGCUCAUGCACGAAAGCGUGGGGAGCAAACA
rnacentral:rRNA from 1 species